rnacentral:rRNA from 1 species
UAUGAAGGGGGCUAGCGUUGCUCGGAAUCACUGGGCGUAAAGCGCACGUAGGCGGACUCUUAAGUCAGGGGUGAAAUCCUGGAGCUCAACUCCAGAACUGCCUUUGAUACUGGGAGCCUUGAGUUCGAGAGAGGUGAGUGGAACUGCGAGUGUAGAGGUGAAAUUCGUAGAUAUUCGCAAGAACACCAGUGGCGAAGGCGGCUCACUGGCUCGAUACUGACGCUGAGGUGCGAAAGCGUGGGGAGCAAACAGG